UCUUAGGAAACAACAGCAUGAGC
rnacentral:misc_RNA from 1 species